AAAAACUCCGGUGGUAUGAGAUGGACCCGCGUCUGAUUAGCUAGUUGGUGAGGUAACGGCCCACCAAGGCGACGAUCAGUAGCCGGCCUGAGAGGGCGACCGGCCACAUUGGGACUGAGACACGGCCCAAACUCCUACGGGAGGCAGCAGUGGGGAAUAUUGCACAAUGGGGGAAACCCUGAUGCAGCGACGCCGCGUGAGUGAAGAAGUAUUUCGGUAUGUAAAGCUCUAUCAGCAGGGAAGAAAAAAGACGGUACCUGACUAAGAAGCCCCGGCUAACUACGUGCCAGCAGCCGCGGUAAUACGUAGGGGGCAAGCGUUAUCCGGAUUUACUGGGUGUAAAGGGAGCGUAGACGGCUGUGCAAGUCUGAAGUGAAAGCCCAGGGCUCAACCCUGGGACUGCUUUGGAAACUGUGGAGCUAGAGUGCUGGAGAGGUAAGUGGAAUUCCUAGUGUAGCGGUGAAAUGCGUAGAUAUUAGGAGGAACACCAGUGGCGAAGGCGGCUUACUGGACAGUAACUGACGUUGAGGCUCGAAAGCGUGGGGAGCAAACAGGAUUAGAUACCCUGGUAGUCCACGCGG
rnacentral:rRNA from 1 species